UACGUAGGUGGCAAGCGUUGUCCGGAUUUACUGGGCGUAAAGAGCGCGCAGGCGGUCGUUCAAGUCGCGUGUGAAAGCCCCCGGCUCAACUGGGGAGGGUCACGCGAUACUGAUCGACUCGAAGGCAGGAGAGGGUAGUGGAAUUCCCGGUGUAGCGGUGAAAUGCGCAGAUAUCGGGAGGAACACCAGUAGCGAAGGCGGCACUCUGGGCCGGUACUGACGCUGAGGAGCGAAAGCGUGGGGAGCAAACAGG
rnacentral:rRNA from 1 species